rnacentral:rRNA from 1 species
CCCUUAGAUGUCCUGGGCCGCACGCGUGCUACACUGGUGCAUACAGCGAGUACUUUCCAGCUCCGCGAGGCAGCUGGUAAUCAGCAAUAUGCAUCGUGCUGGGGAUAGAUCUUUGGAAUUAUAGAUCUUGAACGAGGAAUUCCUAGUAAGCGCAAGUCAUUAGCUUGCGCUGAUUAAGUCCCUGCCCUUUGUACACACCGCCCGUCGCUCCUACCGAUUUCGAGUGAUUCGGUGAACCUUUUGGACAGCGUCUGUCCUCGUGUCAGAUGCUGAAAGUCAAGUAAACCAUAUCACUUAGAGGAAGGAGAAGUCGUAACA